rnacentral:lncRNA from 1 species
UAUCCCCUAAAUCCCCUCCCGCUCUCCGUCCCUCCGAUUGAAUCUUCCCUCGAUUUCAGCGAUUCCUCUCUUCUUCGUCUCUGCCCCCUCCCUCUCCAAUACAAAAACACCAAUUCCAGCACCCAACCGUAGUUUUCAAUUACAUACUCAAAACUCCAAUUCAGCCCACCAAAUUCUCACGAUACCCUUCAACUCACCUCAAGUCGAGCAUCAAACUAUAUGGGUCUCCAAGAAAUUUGUUCGGUCCUUUUUGUUCAAAUUCAACCCCUUCAAUUUAUGUUAGCGAAGAUUUCGAUGUCUAAUUGGGACGCAUGUUAUCUUUGUUACCAGAAGAGAUGCGGCGUAAAAUUAGCGAGCAUCUGGAGCGCCAUCAAUUGAUUGAAGUGGUUAUGGAUUUGGGGUGUGAGUUUUUAAAGUAUGCUAACAGUGGAACAAAACCAUUUACCCAUGAUUUCACUUUGGUUCGCAACCGGAAUUAAUUCGUUGCUGAAUCAAUUUCAAACCUUAUCAUGUCGGAUUCAGGUAAUUCAUCUUCUAUUAAUCUGUUUCAAUUUGUCUGUUUAAUUUGUAUGCAUCUAUAAUCAAAACCUGAAAAUCUUCCAGAGAGAAAUUGAUUAAAUUGUACCCCGAGUACGUCCUUUUUCCAGACAGAAAAUUUGAGAAACGUUAUAAUUACGAGUUACUGUUGCAUUUUUUUAAUUUCAAAGAAAUUAUAUGAGUUUUGCUAUUUGAAUGCUUGGUAUGAUAGUUAAGGGUGAACGGGAAGGGGAAGGGGGCCACAAUUACUUUUAUAAUUUGGCUAUAUGUGGAAUAUUUGGAUCCACAUAAGUGUUUGUCAAUUUGAACUAUAAACACACCUUUUUGUUCUAUGAUACAAUUGCUAUAAUUUUUUCUGGGUGGGUAGGAAAUAGGGAUUUCACAAUUAUCAUUAAUAACUAUCUGUCAUGAUUUGUAUAUAUGUGUGUAUAGUAUCUUUUGAAAUUUUAAUCUUUAACAUCACUGUGAAGUUUCAACUCUAAUUAAGAACUUUUCAAGUAAGGUUAUUGAUAGACUCCACGGCACGCUUGCGUGAGAUGGUCAUCGUCCGGAUCGUUUCUAGCACAGUUGUUGGGUGAAUUGUUUGCAACACCUUAACCCCUCGUCUAUAUGUAGACGUUAAUCUUGGUACAAUUGGUCGCGUUCGGAAAUUUGCGUUAAAUGGAUACCAACGACACCCUGACUCCUCGCUUAUAUUGAAGCGAUAAUCUUGGUACAAUCGACGAUUGAUGCGGUAGAAGACGCCACAUACAACUAUGAAUUGUUGUAUGACAAGUCAAAUUGAAUCUCAAAGAAAUAACUAAGAAAAAUAUUUAGGAAUUCUUCAAAGAACCAAAAGUAGAGAAUAACCUCACAAAUAUAUUGAAUAAUGAAUAAUGUGUUUGAUUACAUCAACUUGGACAUCUAUUUAUACUACUCAAAAUAAUCCAAAUCCUAAUAACAAUUGAAAACAAAUUAUUCUAAUCCUAAUAAGAAUUACAAACCAUAAUCCUAAUUUUUACAAGGAAGUAGAAAUCAAUUUGGAAAAGAAAUUCCUAUUUCUAUAAAACAAUAGAAACCUUAUUUAGAAAGUAAAUCUAAACUGAAAAGAAAUCCUAAUUAUAAUAGAAUUGAUAAGUAUCUGAAAAACAAAUCCCUAAAAAUUAGGCUAAUAGAAUCUGCCUAAUAUUUUAGGAAACAAAAUCUUUUUCCUAAAAUCCCAAAAUCCUUGCCACGUUAGGAUCUUUUACCACGUGAAACUUGUUUCUUUCCUUUGCAUGUAAUCUGAUUAUGUAAAGUUAUAAAGGCCCACAUAAUACUGGCUUUAAUUUCCAAGCUUGAUGGUUAUAAAGCAUAUGAUAAUAUGUUGCCCACAUGUGAAUAACUUGUUGAUCAAGAUUGUAUCAGUUAUUUAUUCAAGUCAAUGGCUUAAAGCACUUAACAUAGAUGCAUGUCGUUGUGUGACUGAUGUGGAGAUUGACGCUCCAAAUUUAUGAACUUUUAAAUAUUUUGGAAUGCUUCUCUCAUAUUUUGCACACUUCACCUGUAUGUAUAGCUGAACUAGACAUACAUGGAGGCUAUUAUUUCUCCUUUUUUAAGUGGAGCAAAUUUCUCUCUAAUUCAGUUCGGUUCGGGAGGUUGAUCUUGAGAAUGACUGCAUUUUGAGGUAUGUGUAUCAACAAACUUUUUUAUUUAUUAUCAUUGUUUUUUUUUGUCAUUGAAAUUGCUGUUUUUUUUUCAAACAUUAACAAAUGUAGGUUAUAGAUGAUUGUUUUGAGGGAGAAGGGAUAUUAGGAGAAACAUUAGUGCCUGGACAAUAGGUAUUUAGAUGCAAUAUUUUAAUUGGGAGUAUAUAUUUGCUUCUAACCCAAUUUUUAUACUUCUUGCCAUAAUUUAAUUAUGUUAGAGGCAACUUUAGUAUAGUUACUAUUAGUUGAACAACAAAUUAACUUUAGGUAAAACUAAUGAAAUACUCAUUGUAGUUGACAGGUUUUACUGAUUACACCAUUGAACUUUUUAAUUUUUCAAAUUAUCCCACUAAACUAAUUAUUAUUUUGAAAUUGAGUCAUUCCGUUAAAAAAAUAAAUGGACGUUAAUUUUUUAUCUAUAAAACUAAUAAAUUACCUACUGUAGUUGGCACAUUUUACAAAUUACACCAUUGAACUUUUAAUUUUUCAAAUUACCCCAUUAAACUAAUUAAAAAUUGAUUAAUUUAAAUAUUUUUAAAAAUAAUUAUUAUUUUCAGUAAAAAAUAUUAGAAACUUUUUUUCUUCAUAAAAUGAGUAAAGUUUCAUAAAAUAUAGAUUCAAAAAAAUUUAAGUGAUUUUAAAUUAAAUUAAUGUCUACUUAAUUUUUUUAACAGAAUGACCCAUUCUUAAUAUUAGAAAUUUGAAAAACAAAAACUAAAAGUAGAAAUUAAAAUAAAAAAAGUAAAAGAUAAAUAAAAAAACUGAUUCAAUUUUUUUUAAAAAAAAUUAAUAAGUUUUAUAAAUAAAUAUUAUUUUCAGGGAAAAGAAUUGUAAAAUUUUUCAUAUUUUAAAAAAAUGAGUAAAAUUUUAUAAAAUAUAGAUUCAAAAAAAUAAACUUUAUUUUUAAAAGAAAAAAAUAGAAUUUUUAAAUUUUUUUAAAAUCAGUAUGGUUUCAUAAAACUUUAAAUUUUUUUGAAUCUAUAUUUUAUGAAACUUUACUCAUUUUAUGGGAAAAACUAAAGUUUCUAAUAUUUUUACUAAAAAUAAUAAUUAUUUUUAAAAAUAUUUAAAAUAAUCAUUUUUAAUUAGUUUAAUAGGGUAAUUUGAAAAAUUAAAAGUUCAAUGGUGUAAUCAGUAAAACGUGUCAACUAUAGUGGGUAAUUCAUUAGUUUUGUCGAUAAAAAAUUAACGUCUGUUUAUUUUUUUUAACGAAAUGACUCAAUUUCAAAAUAAUAAUUAGUUUAGUGGGGUAAUUUGAAAAAUUAAAAGUUCAAUUUUGUAAUCGGUAAAAUCUGUCAACUACAGUAGGUAUUUCAUUAGUUUUGCCAUUAACUUUAGUAUAACUACUAUUAGUUGAACAGUAGAUUAAAUUUACAUGUCUGCCCAAGUGUUCAUUGAUAUUUUGUGAAGUGUUAGACUGCUAGUGAAUCCAAUGGGUUUUUACAUUAGUUGGGUUUCAGUGCAAAACUUAACUUAUUGCAAGGAGUUUCAACUUGCAUCAUAGUUGGGAAAUGACUCAUAGUCAUUGUUCACUGUUGAGGGUUGAAUAUAUCAACUCAUUACUCAUCGCAUAAUCAUCACUUGUGAUUUAUGAUUCGACAUAUGAGAUAGUUUACUCGGUGCUUCAUUUGAUUAGAUUAUUAUCAGUUUUAUACAUCCCUUUAAAUUUGCUAGCUUUGUCGAGGUUUAAAUAUGCGUAGGUGUACACAUUGGCCAAAAGUAGAGGUAUUGGUAUUCCAAAAUUGGAGUACUCUGAAUCUGUAGAUAAUAUUAAUUUCUGCUGACUUGAUGUAUUUUUUGGGGGUAAUAUAUGCAAGUAUGCAAUUGAAAUGAUUUUAUUGACCUUUUGUUUUGUUAAAUAGUUUAAUUGCUUGAGAUGUUUUUUUGGUUUAGGCAUGGUUGGGUAGUGCAUUUUAAGUGUUUGAUAAACUGAGUCCGAGAAGAUAUUUAUGGACAGGUAUGCAACAUAACUAGUCAUAGUCAUGACUACAAGUAAGAAAUUUAUGUAAAAAACAAAUAUAUGUCAUUUGUUUGCCUUUGUUUCCAAUAACAGUACUAUGCUUUGUUGUGGUGCUCAAAGUUCAUGAAUCAUAUUUCUUAAUUAUUUGUAAGAGUAUGAAUUUUUUCCUUAUAUAUCAUCAGACAUGUACUUCAAUGUUGAAAGCACAAUUAAACAUGUGCUAUGAACAGUGUUCUAAAAAUCCCCGCCUAGGCGCUAGGCCCCCCUUGGCUUCCCGCCUAGGCACUAGGCCUCCCUGGCGCCCCGCCUAGGCACAAGGUGGAAAAAAAUCUCUCCAGGAAAUUAGGCGGGGCCUAGGCAGGAUCUAGGCGGAGAAGUUUUUUUUUUUAAUAACUACCCAAACCAGAUUUUGAUAUAUUUAUUUUUCUAAUGAUUUUCAUAUUCAUAAUACAGGUCGAAGCAUAUCAAAUCACAACAAGAAGUGAACAAUAUCAAGUCACAAUGGAUAAUUUUAUUAUAAUUAUAAUUUUUUGAAUACCAACUUCAAAUUAUAUACAUGAUGAUACAUUUGUAAUAUUUAGUUUAAUUUAAUAUAAUUCUUAAAUUUAUGUUUAGUUCCUUAAGUUUUAAUAUUGAAUUAAAUUCUUGAAAUUUUAAAUUUUAUUAUUUAAUAACAAUCUUGUUUAUGAAUAAAACUAAUACGUUAAAAAUAUGUUUGAAUUUUGAACAAUUGUAUGUUUGUAUUUGAACUUUGACAUUAGCAAUAUGGAUAUUUAUUUGAACUUUAAGUAAAGACCUUUAUUAUAGAUUAUUUUGCUUUAUAUUAUUGUUUUGUUUGGAUAAAUGUAAGAUAAAAUAUUAAAAUUGGGUUAAAAUAAAAAAUUCCGCCUAGGCCCACUAGGCGCUAGGCCCCCCUCAGCCGCCCGCUUCCCGCCUAGCGCCUUUUAGAACAUUGGCUAUGAAAGAAUUUGUCUCCUUAAAAGAUUAUGCAUUUUGUUGUCUUUACUUAAUUUUGAUGAAUUUGCUUUAGCAAUUUUUCGAAAUCACUUAGUGCAUCCCUACCAACCUCAAUUGGUUCAAAUUCUCAGUGGGGACUUCCCGAAUGAAUUAUUGGCCAUGGUAAAGGGUGAAAAUCCCGAUACUCCUAUUGUCAUUGAGUAGGACCAUUUAUCUAUUUUAGACUAUGUUUGGUUAAUUUCAUAUUUGCUCAACUCUCACGUUUUUAAUGAAUUAAGUUUUAGUUUUGAGAUUAAUGAAUUGCUUUACGUUAGUCAAUUUCUUGAUAUUGAUUGUGUUUUGUUUGCUACAAUUUAGUACAUGUAGUCAAAAUUUCAUUGUUUUACCUCCAAAAUUUCACAGUAGUAUGCAAAAAAAAAAAUGACAGAAUUUCCUUCAUUCUCAUGUGAAGUUAUAAAGUAUACGGUGAAGACACAUUAGAUUAGCUAAGGAUAUUAUAAUUCAUGCAGCUCUUUUGGACAUAACCUGCAUAAGUUUUGUUCAUUUGUUUCCCUAAUACAGAUUCUCAUCUAUUAUUAUUUUAUGUUGUAUAUGUGCAGGAGUUAAUUGAAUGGUGGAGGCUCUCUUCUGCUGCAAGUUAAUCCAAUCAAUAGGUGCGAAAAUUUUAACAUUAGUAAGAUACACAUGCCAGUUUGUUUUUCAAGUUUCAUAAAUGCAUAAGGAUCAUUAUAUGUAAUUAAAUUAGAUAAAUAUAUACCAAAUAUUAUAAAAAUACUAUAACUAUAAAUAGAAAAUUCUAAAGAAAAAUUUGAAAUAAAUAAUUUCAAACUAACCUGAAUAAAAAAAUCAGUUCUCAAUUACAAAUUUUGGGAUCUCACUGUUCAUGGUAACCGUAAAUUAAUUCAUUUAACAAUAGACAAUAUGAUUAUUAUAACUAUAAUCUAACUAAUAAAUAGGGCUAAUUACAAAUUUAUUAUUUUAAAAAUUAAACAAAUCACGUCAAUGUUAUUUGUUGCGGAUACUUCUGCUUCUCCCAAAACUAUUAUCAUAAUGGCCAAUAAGUUAAUAAGAUGUUUGUCAUAAUAAGUUGUAACAACUUUUCAAAACCAACUUUUUAAUUUAUUGAAUGAAAACAGAUGGUAUUUUGGAAAAUUGAAUUUUUCAUGCAAUAUGGUGAAUUAGAAGUUCGGAAGUUGAUUUUAGAAACAUCUUUUUAAUAACUUAUAGUUUAUACCUCCUUUGCGCAUUAACACUCUGUUUCUAGUUUUAAAAUGAACAGAAAAGAAAAGAAAUGGAUGGAAAAUUUAAGUUUUCUUUCUAAUUCCUAUGUUUCUUAGUUUUUUAAUAAACGAAAAAAAAAGGACAAAAAACUUGGUCAUUUUUCUUGCUAAAGUUUUCCGUUCAAACCUGAUUUGGACAGAAAAGAAAUUGGAAUAAAUGAUAUUUUUAUAAUUUCCAUAUUAUCCUCAACUUUUAAUAUAAUAAAUUUUAAAUUACAAUCAAUGUCCCCAAUUUGUUUUUAUAUACUAAACCUAAGCUGAUAAAAUCUUGGUCUUUUAACAUACUUUCCUUCUCAAACUCCUUAGCAUUAUUAUUAAACUCAUCAAUCCUUAAGCUCCCAUACUCUGUAUUCCCAAACUCAACCAACCUUUUCAUCAAUGUAGCUUCACAAACAUGCACAACUUUCACAAUAUCCGACUUUCGACACAUAAAUCCAUGUGCAAUUGCAUCUAUAUACACAUCUGCACCACAUAACCCACUAGGUUUUCUUCCAGUCUGCAUCCAAUCUCGCUUCAUACUAGCAAUAAUUCGCAAUGCAGCCAUCGAAACCUUCAUAUUCCUCUCUUUCAACAAAGCACUCGUAUAUCGAUGAAUAAAAAGACUAGGAUCAACCAACUUCUGAACAAACGAAUGCAUUUCCAAGCUCAAAACCUUACAAAGUUGUAAAUAAAUAGCCCCCAAUUCAUAUACAUUAAUCCUCAACUCAAUAGCAAAAUCAACAAGUAAAUACGGAAUUUUAUUCACCCUACACGUAAGGUACAAGCAAGCAGCAAUAACCUUUUCUGAUUCUCUACCUCUAGUGAAAUUACGCUCUGAAGCUAUUUGAUAAAAUUUUCGAGCUUGUUCCAUUGCAUAUUUUUAUUCAUGGUUCAAUAGUUAUAAGUAAUAGAAGGGUAAAUUUGUAAAACUAUAUUUUUCUUUUCUUUUCAUUGGAACUCAAAAAUGCAAGAAAAGAAUUUUUUUAAAUUUUCUAUUCUUUUCUAUUAAAAACUUUGAAACAACACAAAGGAAAACUUCAAGUUUUAUAUUCUUUUCUUUUCUGUUCUAAUUUAAGUUUUGUAUUCUUUUCUUUUCCGUCCAAAACUCAGAAACAGAGUGUAAGAGAUUUAUGCCCAACUUUUGAGUCUAGAAGCUAAAACAAACAAUAAUCCAACAAUUUUUGAAAAAGUAGAAGAUAUAUUCUGUUUGAGAAAAGUUGAAACAAGCAAGGACUAAAUCUAUCUUAAAUUGGUGACCAUAUAAUUAAAUAGAGUAAAGUUCAGAUAGCCACCUGGGGUUUUGGCGCUUUCCCACUUAACCACCUGUAGUCAGUAAAGCUACAUUUAAACUCCCGACUUUUUGAGUUGAAGUGAAAACGUCACCUUUUCCAUCCAACUUAACCGUGCGUGUAUGUCAAACGCCAAAAGCGCGUGAGAAGGGGCUGUAAGAGUUAAAAAAAACCUAGUAAAUGUCUGAAAAUACCCCCUUCUUCUUCCUCUCUUCUCCUCUUAUUCUCCCUUCAACCUUCAAACCCACCAACACUCUCAAAUCCACUCAUUUUAACAAUACCCACUCUGAUUCUCGAGCUCUCUCAUAAAGCCAUGGGCUUGUUUCACGAUCUGAUUUUGGUUUGUUUGCAGGGUGGUGAUCCGAAAAGUAAAGAAAAUAAAGGAUCUUUGAACUUUUUGGAUUCUUGAUUGAAAAGGGAAUUAAAAGGGAAUUAUAAAGGAUCUGGGUUUGUUUUGUUGUGGGAUUUGGGUGUCUGUUUCUUCUCAUUUUGGGGCUUUUUUUAAUUGUUAAUUAGAAUUGAUGGGUUUCGUUUACUGUAAGUUUAUGCGUCUUCGCCCAUUUCAUCAUUUUCUCUGAAAUCCAAAAUUCUCUUUAUUUGUUAGUACAAUCGCUAACAUAAUGAAGAAAUUGAUUCGAAGACUCUCACGAGUUGCCGAUUCAUCACAGUACUGUAGCAAACAACCCACCAAACCGGAGCAGAGAACCCAAAGCCAUCACCGAUCAAAUCCAAAAAUGAGUGUGCCAAGCAGCGAUGGGAGGGUGUCGGAGGUUAGAGAUGAGGAAGCACAUGAAUGAGAUUAGAAAUUAGCAACAUAAUCUAACAAUAGAAAUUAACAUGAAGCACUAAAAAGAUUUCGCAGCCAUUAAUCGUAUUGGACCACAACAAAUCCAUCAAUGAACAUUCAAAUUUGAACAUUAAUUGAUAAACAAUAAGAACAGAAAUUCAGAUCGAAAGGCGACCAGAAACAAACACCGGCACACACAGUUCAGGAACUGGUUAAGAAUAAACCAGAUCCGAAACGGAUCCCUCACUCCUAACAUCUCAAACCCAGAAAAUCACCAAGAUCCGAACCCCAAAACCUAUCAUCCCCACUUAAGAUCAGAACUCCAAACCCAAAACCACUCAGAUCAUACCCCCUACUAUUCUUGACAGAGGACCCCAUGAUCUAAAGCCCCUUGGACUCGGCUGUGCAUAGAUCGGAAAACGAAAUUUCGAGAAGGUUCCCAUUUCAGCUGCCGAUGAUUGAUGGUGAGAUUCUAUAUGACCAAAGGGAUGCUAAAGUAACCCAGUAAAGUUUCGGGAAGGUUCCCAUUUCAGUAGCCGGAAAAGCCGAACAGUCACCAAGCAUGAGAAGUGGAGAGAGAGGGAAGGAGAUCUGGUGGGCCGAAGAGGGGGAAACGGAAUAAAUGGAGACGGGUGGGCCAGAUGGAAAAAGGGCUGGAGAAGGAGGAAAAGGGGGCUCCGGUGAAAAAUUAGGGUUCCGAUGAGGGUGUUUUUGCUCCGGUGUAGAGAGAAUAUAUAUAAUGAAAUGAGUAUGCAUGAUUAGAUUGAGAAGGAAGAUGGAAGCUUUGUAUUCUCUGCUCCCUUUCCUGUGAACAUGGAACCUAGACCUGAUCUAAUGAACAAGAAGAUUGCUCAUUUGCCUGAUGAUCAAUAUAUAUAUAGAGGGUAAUUAAGUCUUUAGCCAACUCAAGUAACGGAGUUAAGACGGAAAACAUUUAUUCACUUCAACUCAAAAAGUCGAGAGUUUAAAUGUAACUUUACUGAUUACAGGUAGUUAAGUGGGAAAGCGCCAAAACCCUAGAUGGUCAUCUGAACUUUACCCAAUUAAAUAAAAUUCCUUAAUUGAAAUGCAAAUUUUUUGGUGCAUAAUGGAGUUCUAUGGUAUAGUACUUCCUAUGUUCUAAGAGAAAUAUAUAUUUGUUUAGAUUUUAUGAUUAAAGUGGUCAUUUUAAAAUUAGUAAUUAAAUAUAUAAAGAAAGAUUUUUAAAAUCGUAAAACUUUAUAUUUAUACUAACACAUAUAUAAUUUAUUAUGAUCAUCGUCUUUUUAUUUAUAUCUUGAAGAAUAAUAGUCUUUUCCUUCCACAAAAAUAUUUUUUUAUUUCAUAAAAAAAUAUUUUUUAUCAACGAUAAUGUGAAAUAACACAAUAUCUUUAAGUAUUUAUGUUAGAUAUUAUUAUUCUUAUCUGUAUCAUGAUUUUAAUACUGGCUAUAUAUACAGUUUGUGUAUUAAAUUUAUCACAAUUUUUAAGGGACAUUAAGGCUGUCGCGAUAAUACUUUUUUUAAUUUUGUUUGUGAACUUAUGGAUACAGAUUGGUUUGUUCGGAUGCAACAUGUUUUUCGAGGACAAUACAUGUCAGAUUAGUUUGAUAAUCAGAAAAUUGAUAGCCGAGUCAAUUUCUCGUUGAUUUUUUAACAAUUUUUUGGACUCUAAUUCAUCUAUCAGACCAUCUUAAUAAUUUUAUUUUGUUAAUUCCUUUUAACAUGAUGGAGAUAUAAUGAUAGUCUGUUUGGGUCGCGUUCUUUCGGGACUCAGCGGUUGUUGCAUUCUCGCAUAUGAUUUCGGUGCAACUUUUUGUUUGUAAAAUUCCUUACUAAAUUUACUUUCAUGGUUUAAUUCGUAUAAUUGUUUUACCCCGUAGGUUCAAUACUAUAAUUUUGAAAUACUGGAGGCCAUUGAAUUGUGUUUACGACUCCUUUGAAAUUGAAAACUUACGGCUUGGGUUUUCCUGAUAUCAUAAUUCAUGAAAUUUUUUAGGCUUCUUCAAAUCAAUAGUUAGGAGAGUCGGGGCAUUUGAGUGGUAAAAUUGAUAUUAUACCUUUCAUCAACCUUUGUGAUUUUUAUUUUUUUAUUUUUUUAUUUUUUUUUUCCAGGAAAUUGAUUGAUUUACAUAAUCAUUUGGAUAAUACAUGUAAUUUCACUAUUUUGUGUGUUCGGCUUAUUAAAGUUGACUAGUUUUAUGAUGUGAUUUGGGGGUUAGGAUCACAUAUUAACUUGAUUUUGUUAAUACUGUGAGAGUGGUGAUAUGUUUCUGGUAAUCAUUUUGAAUUACUGAUGUUGAAUUACAGUUCUAACCAAUUAUUCUGGAAAUGCAUUGUUGGCAAGUUAAACAAGUUUUAAGACGGCUGGUUUAGGCUUAUAUUUAGCUGAUUUUAGCACCUAAGCCCUAGAUUUAGCUGUCAUUUUUUGCAACAAACCAUAUCCUAAAAUCCGGUGGCGAAACCGGUUUUCUGCUGAUCUUAUUCCAUUUGGAGAGUUGGUUCUGAGUGGAAAACUUGAUUCAAAUUUCUGGUCUCCCGUGGGCAAAGCUGCACUGUCUUUAUUGAAGAGAAUUAAUUACAUUCCCAACAAUUUCCUUACACAUGGUUGGUGAUUCAAAUAUGUGGCACAUAGAUGUGGAUACUUGGGCCGUAAAGAUUGGAUAUCAAGUUAAACAAUACUUGUUGAAGUGUCACUUUCAAGUUUCAUAAUAGAGCAAGUAAUUGGCUUUUCAGUCUAUUGAUGUCAGCACGUAAAGUUUCACUAUCCCAACCUAAAGGAUAGCGAGCUCCAGAUGCUAAAAGGUGUUUUUCUUCUCGACCCUUUCAACAAUUCCAAACCUAUCAUGGCCAGACGUCCCACACCAUAUGAUGAGACUAGAAAAUCCUGGUAGUUGAUACUACUAGGUGUCAUAUGACACUAGGUGUUUGUAGUGCCUCAAAUUUGAGCAAAAAAUCCAGAACAUUCGUUCAUGGGAAUGUGUUGCUUAAUCAGAGUUUAAGGGCAUCAAAUCUUGAGAGGAAGCUUCAGAGAGCUGGUGGGUUGAGCCGCUGGCUGGCAUCGCUGGGACUUGACCAGUUUGUCAAUUACUUUAACGGUAAAUGUGUCAACAAAUUUCAGUUGGUGGACUUGACCAUGAAGAAACUAAAGGACAUGGGAGCAAACGCCUUGGGACCCCGGAGAAAACUGAUGCAUGCCAUUGACUGCCUUUGCCAGCCAUAUUGUUUCGAAACCUUGUGAAUGUUGCUGGCGGUUGUUUGGUCGGGAAAUGCUGUUCACUGGAAUGUUGAAACAGAGAACAAGUUUUAAGAAGCCCAUAGGUAUAUGUUUGUAAUUUUUAACCAGAUGCAUGUCCAAAAGUAUAGUAUCAUUUGCUUGUUAACUUAUUUGGUGUUCGAAACAAGUUGUUAAAAUGGCAAGCACACAGUUUUGUUUGGUAAGAAGUGAAGUUACAAGAAGGAGCAUCAGUGGAGGUGAAAUGAAAAUUAUUUUGCUUUCAAAAUUUAAGGAGAAGGUGAAGGUCUGAAUGCUCGCGUCCAGUUUAAGGAGCAACCCUGAUUGCACCCUGUCUCUACAGCCAGUGGAGCUCUAAAAUGUGCUCAUGUAUAUCUUUUUAUGCUCUCACAGAUUGGAGAUCAAAGGGAAAAAAUAGUCAGACAUGAAGAAAAAGAAAAUGCAUCAGAUCAUGCAGUCUUCCAUGAGGUAGUUUUCUUUUAUUUUAUUUCGAAAUUUUCUUCUUCUGCGUUUGCAAGCUGGAAAUCAGGAAGGAAAGAAAAGUAAUUUCAUUUUACUUUUUGCUUGGUUGGAAGCAAAAGGAAUUGCAAAAGAAAUGCCAAGUAGAAAUUUCAUUAACUUUGAAUUGACAUUUCUUAUAAAGGAUGUAGAGAAUGUGGACGAAAUUGUGAAGAAAGGCACUCAAAAACAAAAAUUGCCCAAAAAGGAAAUUAGAUUUUUUAGAAAUUGACUAACUUGAACCCGAAGCACCAUCUGCCCAGGACGUUGGUUCCAAUUUCCAAAAUUGGGGCCAAAGAUAUCUAUCCAAAAAUAUAAAUAAGUAAUCUCUUCUUAUGAAUUCUGUUUAUUUUUUAUUUUUUUGUUAACCUCAUUCUUUGUCAUUUUCAAUUUGUUCAAGAAUGAUACUGAAUACAUUGAACUGUCAAAUACAUUGAACCAAUAUGGCCUUGUGAAUAACAAAUAUUGAACUGUCAAAUACGUUGAACCAAUACGGCCUUGUGAAUAACAAAUAAUGUAAUUGUGAAUUGAAUCUUGUAGGUGGGCAAGUAAUACAUAUGCAAAUAGCAUUACCAAACAAAAACAUUGGACCUGGGAGGGAUAUGCUUGGGAGGACCACAAGAAAAAAAGGAGUUGGUCUAGUUGCUCAUCAUCGACAUUCUAUAUCUAUUUAGUACUAUUUUCAUAUAAAUAAAUAUAUUGCAUCCCAGUGCAAAGGGCAAUCAUAUGGACCACUAUGAUUUGAUUCUCAACAUCUCUUUAGUAAACCAUUGUCUUCUCAAUGCCUACUUGCAUCUAUAUCAUGAUUGGCAUCUUUUGGUUGUUUCCUUUUUCAGGUGAGGAACAUGUUGUAUGUAUCAGACCUAAUGCUCUCCCCACUCACCCUUUCCCUUUGCAUCCAUAUCCACUUCACUCUAUCUCAUANNNNNNNNNNNN